rnacentral:lncRNA from 1 species
UCUUGUUUUCCUUUUUUUGGUUUUUUUGGGUGUCUUUGCUCUCCGACGCAUGUGGUAUUCUGCGCAGUAGUACGACAUGGUUUCUUUAGUCUAAAGAAUUUUAAUGUCAUGAGCCAGAUGCUCGGAGAUCGUUGUGAUUAGUGAUGUACAUAUUCUUGCGUGCUCCGAAAUAAACGUGGUUUGAAGUUAGCGAUUGUGUUGUCUACGUCUCUAUGUUUUGUGUCCCCAGUCGAAGGUUUGCUUCAUAAGUUUCUCGUAAACAGGAUGACGAAACAAAACAUACAGCAGCAGACUUCUUGGCGAAGUCAGUUGUUGCCCAUAUUGUGGUUGAACGCUAAAGUAUUUUACAAAGCAAAUCAGCAGCCAGGUACUCACUCGGCCAAGUUCACAAGCCACAAUGAAGAUGAACGGCGAAGAGCACGAGAUGGGCUGAACAUUUUGUCAACAAAGUAACACAAUCAAAUAGCGCGGAACAAUGCUCUUCAGGGGGCUGAUCAGCCGAGAUUUUCUCCUCUUCACCCUUUUUCACCUUGUGUACGUAACGGUGAAAAUAAUACGUUAUUGAUUGAUUGA